GACGAACGCUGGCGGCGUGCUUAACACAUGCAAGUCGAACGGUGAAGCGCCUUCCUUUUUGGUGGGUGUGGAUGAGUGGCGAACGUGUGAGUAACACGUGAGUAACCUGCCCCCUUCUUCUGGAUAACCGCAUGAAAGUGUGGCUAAUACGGGAUAUUCUGGGUCUGUCGCAUGAUGGGUCUGGGAAAGAUAUUGUUUCGGUGGGGGAUGGGCUCGCGGCCUAUCAGCUUGUUGGUGGGGUGAUGGCCUACCAAGGCGGUGACGGGUAGCCGGCCUGAGAGGGUGGACGGUCACACUGGGACUGAGACACGGCCCAGACUCCUACGGGAGGCAGCAGUGGGGAAUAUUGCACAAUGGGCGCAAGCCUGAUGCAGCGACGCCGCGUGAGGGAUGGAGGCCUUCGGGUUGUGAACCUCUUUCACCAGUGAAGCAGGCCUGCCUCGUUUGUGGGUGGGUUGACGGUAGCUGGAUAAGAAGCGCCGGCUAACUACGUG
rnacentral:rRNA from 1 species